GAUUGUUGUGCAAGCUUCAGGUAACUGGUUUUUUGUGUUCUUCUCACAGAUCUCCUCAUAAAAAGCCAGCCUAGCUUCAUGCCCCGAGAGGGGCUUCCCUUCUUUGUAAUACACUUUUCCGUCACCUUUAAUAUUUCAAAUGUCCUUAAGUUUAUUUUUUCACUGCCGAUAGUUAAUAAUCAGAGUCUGUUUAUGUCUCUGUAUUGAUUAUUAUGCCUCUAUCAAGAACAGCAAU
rnacentral:misc_RNA from 1 species